CGGACGGGUGAGUAAUGUCUGGGAAACUGCCCGAUGGAGGGGGAUAACUACUGGAAACGGUAGCUAAUACCGCAUAACGUCGCAAGACCAAAGAGGGGGACCUUCGGGCCUCUUGCCAUCGGAUGUGCCCAGAUGGGAUUAGCUAGUAGGUGGGGUAACGGCUCACCUAGGCGACGAUCCUUAGCUGGUCUGAGAGGAUGACCAGCCACACUGGAACUGAGACACGGUCCAG
rnacentral:rRNA from 1 species